UACGUAGGGUGCGAGUGUUAAUCGGAAUUACUGGGCGUAAAGCGUGCGCAGGCGGUUUGUUAAGUCCGCUGUGAAAGCCCCGGGCUCAACCUGGGAAUAGCAGUGGAAACUAGCGAGCUAGAGUGUGUCAGAGGGGGGUGGAAUUCCACGUGUAGCAGUGAAAUGCGUAGAGAUGUGGAGGAACACCGAUGGCGAAGGCAGCCUCCUGGGCCAGCACUGACGCUCAUGCACGAAAGCGUGGGGAGCAAACAGG
rnacentral:rRNA from 1 species